AUUGGCAGCUGCAAAGAUCUUUUGGUCUAGCUAAACGGUGCGUUUCUUAACAUAGCAUGCUAUACAGCCAUGUAUAGUUCGAACCGGCGAUAUCCUAGAUAAGUGACAUAUCCUAGAGAAGUGAUUUGUGUAGACAACUGAUGAGAUAUAAUAAAGGUCCUACUAUAGUUUUGGAGAAAUAAAAUUUGUAUAAUUACCGUGCUAAUAGGGGUUAUGAAUAAUUAUGAGACGGAGUAAGAACGUGCGUUUUGGUGGCCUCUAUAGAGAGCUCACGUGUUUUUUUUUGUAACUAUGUCCUAUUUACCGUUGUUUAAUACACUCCGUUGCUAAUUAUGUAUUUUAUUUGACUUGCCUUGCUCUACGAUUUGCUUUGGUUACCUUUUAUUUGUGCCCUUCUUCUUCUUGAUGUCCUUUUCAGCAGGUAUAGAAAUGCCAUAUGGAUGCUGCUUCUUCGUCUAAACAGACAAGGAAAAGACGGCGCGGUAAAGAAGCAGCUACCUGCACAUCAGUGGCAACUGCUGAGGGUACAGUUCGUGGGAGGCAGGCUCGCCGAAGAUCCACAAGACAGGGAAAGAAAGAAGGAAAGUGUCUGGCCUAGGCGAAAAAUCAAGUGUACCUUACAACUGGGAUUUCAUACUACGGCCCUCCUGCGCAUGCGUGCCAGUACUGCAGCGCGCAGUUCUGGCACCAGGAGCUCGUGAAAAGGUCCUACUCAGGUGAAGGAGGCUGUAUUCGUUUCCAUCUUUGUUGUCGUGGAGGUAAAGUUGUCUUGCCGUUUCAAAGGGAUCCUCCUCAGUUCCUGGCUGGGUUGCUGGAUCCACAUGGUGAUGUUUUGUCUAAAUACUUCAUUAAGUCCAUAAGAUCAUAUAAUUCAAUGUUUGCUUUCACAUCACUUGGUGCCAAAAUUGAUACUGGUAUAAAUAAGGAACCUGGGCCAUAUGUGUUCAAAAUUAAUGGUCAGGUCCAUCAUCGGAUUGGUUCUUUGCUACAGGAUGAGGGUAAACCCCCAGUGUAUGCACAACUCUAUAUUUUUGACACUGAAAAUGAGAUUUAGAAUCGAAUGUCAAUUUUUGAUAGGGACAGGGAGUGCGAUAAAGAUAAUGGAGUUGAUAAAAAAAUUGUUGAAGGCUUGGUACGGAUGUUCGACGAGUCGAAUGAGCUGGUAAAAUCAUUUAGGGCAGCUAGGGACCUUUUGGGAGGAAGCCAAGUCCAGCCUUUACGCCUUAGGCUCCUGCACGAUAGGUCAAAAGAAGCACCUCAGUAUAGUGCACCAGCAGGAUUUGAGAUAGCUAGUUUAAUAGUAGGGGAUUUCUCUGAAGAUAAGAAGAGUCCUGACGUAAUCAUUCAAGAUAGAGUGGUGGGCUUAGAAGAAUCAGCAAUCUUCAUGCAAACUAUAUGGCCUUACAAUACCCAAUCCUGUUCCCUUAUGGGGAGCAAGGGUUCAAGUUAGGAAUUAAAUAUAACCGUUCAGGAACUUUGCGUGUUGGAGUUAGGGGUGAGGUUACCAUGCUUGAAUAUUAUGCUUUCCGAUUACAGCAACGUAGAUGCGAGGCAACAACGCUGAUACGCGGUGACCGGCUAUUUCAGCAGUACAUUGUUGAUGCUUAUGCAUCUGUAGAGGAGAACAGGCUUAGAUACAUUGUAAAAAAUAACAAAAAUCUAAGGUCUGAGGUGUACAAGGGUAUUGAGGAUGCUCUGCUUAAGGGUGAUGUGGAUGGAAACAAUGUUGGGAAAAAGGUUAUUUUGCCUGCUAGCUUCACUGGGAGUAAAAGGUACAUGAUACAGAACUAUCAUGAUGCAAUGGCAAUCUGUCGAUUUUAUGGGCCCCCAGACCUGUUUAUUACUUUUACCUGCAAUCCAAAGUGGCAGGAAAUAGCUGAUGCUCUUGCAUUUAUUCCAGGGCAGAGGCCUGACGCUAGACCUGACAUAGUUAGCCGAGUCUUCAAAUUAAAGGUCGACGAGCUUGUUUCUGAGUUGAAGAAAGGCACUUACUUUGGGAAGGCGCAAGCAGGUAUGAGUAUCAGUUUUUUGGCACAUAUAUUUUGUUGUGCUUUGCAAUUAAAUACUCCAUUAUCUUUGAGUAUAUUACAAAAGGCCCAGCCCAUGCUAGGACGCACCAAUGUAUGAGAGUGGGCAGUAGGCCUGUUGGUAUCGCACGCUUUGUUUCCUUUUUUGUUCACCUGCCUUGCGCUGUGGUUGCUGAAAAUAAGGCGCUGAAUAUAUUGUUUGGGUGUAUAUGUGCAUGCAUACAUGCAUUUUUUUUUGAAACGAUUUGCUCUGCCGUGAGUUAAUAUUGCUGCUAUUGUUUCUUGGUCGUAGUGCUCUACACUGUGGAAUUUCAGAAGCGAGGCCUGCCUCACGUCCAUAUUUUGGUUUGGCUUGAAAGUAAUACAAAGGACCCUCGCCCCUCUUUUAUUGACUCAAUAAUAUCUGCAGAGAUACCGGAUAAAUCAGUUGAUCCUUUGGGUUAUAGUAUUGUCGAUGAAUUUAUGGUGCAUGGCCCUUGUGGCGAGCUUAACAAAAAAUGUGCAUGCAUGAAAAACAAUAGGUGCUCAAAAUUCUUCCCUAAGGAUUACGAAGCAAGCACAGUAGUAGGUGAGGAUGGUUUCGUGCAGUACAGGCGCGGGCCUGAGGCUGCAAAUUUCGUUGAGUGAUAUGGAAUCAGGCUUGAUAAUGGGUGGGUUGUCCCCUAUAAUUUGGCAUUAUUGAAACGGUUUAGGGCCCAUAUAAAUGUGGAGUGGUGCAAUAAAACCCAUCUAAUCAAAUACCUGUUUAAGUAUAUUACAAAAGGUCCAGACCGUGCUAGGGCUGUCACCGAGACCUUUGGAGCUGGUGCGUCCUGUGGUGAAGCCAUUAGCAGCCUUGGUGACCAGCCAGUAAAUGCGUAGAAGCACCCUGAUGAUGUUGACGAGGUCCGGGAAUACAUUGAUUGUCGCUAUUUAUCCUCCCACGAGGCUAUCUGGCGUAUGUUCGAAUUUGAUAUCCACUUUAGGACGCCAGCAGUGGAAAGGUUAGCUGUGCAUCUUCCCUUGGUGAAUAGUGUUGUGUACCCAGCUGACCAGCCAUUGGACAAUAUUGUAGAUGACCAUCGUUACAUGCAGACAACAUUAACAGAGUGGUUUACUGCUAAUACGAUUUUCCCAGCUGCUCGAGAGUUAACAUACAUAGAAUUCCCAACAAAAUGGGUUUGGAAUAGAAAGGCUAAGGCAUGGUAUUCACGUAAGGGAUCUAGAAAGAUCGGCAGGGCUAUAUAUAUCAAUCCUAGCUGUGGUGAGCUCUACUACCUUCGUAUGCUUCUGAAUGUUGCCAACGGUGCUACAUCGUAUGAGGACCUUCGUGCAGUUAGUGGUGUCCUGCAUCCAACGUUUAAGGAUGUGUGUCAAGCUGCUGGACUUCUUGGUGACGACAAUGAGUGGCGUGAAUGUCUCAAGGAAGCAUCUGUUUGGGGUACAGCUUCUCAAAUGCGACAGUUGCUUGUUACUAUAAUACUUUUUUGCUCUGUUUGUGAUGCACCUUCUUUAUUUUCUGAGUUCUAUAUGUACUUCACUGAUGAUAUACACCAUAAAAUUAGAAAGAUGGUAGGCCUGCCUCGUUAUAAAGUGCCAGAAGAACAUCUGAGAAAUCAUGUCCUACUUGAACUCGAUAGAUUGUUUGUCAAGAAUGGUGCCUCAAUGCCUGAAUAUGGCCUACCAAAUCCUGAUCCAACCCUUUGCAGCAAGGUGAAAAAUAGAUUGAUGGCUGAGGAAUUAGCUUACGACAGUGAAAUGCUCUUGCAUGUGCAUGAAAUUCUCAUUAACCAAUUAAACUCUGAACAGAGGCAUAUAUAUGAUGUUGUCAUAUAGUCAGUUUAUGGGAAAACUAGUCGGUACUUUUUUGUAUAUGGGUAUGGUGGAACUGGGAAGACAUUUCUUUGGAAUGCAAUCAUUUCACGCUUGCGAUCGGAGAAACACAUUGUUCUUGCUGUAGCUUCAUCAGGGGUUGCUGCGCUCUUGCUCCCUGGAGGCCGUACUGCGCAUUCUCGAUUUAAAAUUCCCAUUGUUAUUGAUGAGUCGUCGAUGUGUGAUAUUAAAAGGGGUACUUUCCUUGCUGAUUUAAUAGUGCAAAGUUCUCUGAUAAUAUGGGAUGAGGCUCCUAUGACUCACCGCCAUUGUUUUGAGUCGUUGGAUCGUAGUAUGCGUGACAUUCUUGGUCAAUUGGACUCCUCAAAUUCUGACCGGAU